GUCAACAGGUGGGUUGCUCAUUACAAGAUGAAGAAAAUCCAGCAGAACUGUGUGGAGCACUGAUGGCAUGGCAAAAUAAUGGAUCGUCAGUACCAGAUGGAUGUGUGAAGUUAAGCUGGCUGAAGAUCAGAUUUGGCUGCUAUGGACGUUCUAAGUGCAUCUACAGAGGAAGCUUAAUCUUUCCCAUCCCAGAUGGCUGUCUUGAAAGGAAGAGGUGACAGGCCUUGGCAGUGUGACGUCUGCGAUGCCAGCAAGGAAGUCAGGCUGGUCCUAUGUAAAAGUGAGAAAAAUCAUCUGGAUAGAAAAUCAUCUGGUAAAUAUUGCCUUCAUAACCUGGGGCUCCCUUAUUGCAUCCGUGUGCAGAGGGACUGGGCUUUUUCUUGGUGAUGGAUUGACAAAUUAAUGAAGAAGAUUCAGUAUGGAUCAGAUAGAUAGAAUUGGAGCUGAA
rnacentral:lncRNA from 1 species